rnacentral:rRNA from 1 species
UUUGAUCAGAAUAAAUAUAAAUUCUUUUCUUAUUUCUAUUUUAUGAUUGACCAAUAUAAACAUCAACAACUUCAAAUUGGACUAGUUUCCCCUCCGGUAGUGGCCAAAAUGGUUAUCAAUAGGGGUGAGGUAGUGUUUCCUUAUUCUUUUAUUAUAUGA